rnacentral:rRNA from 1 species
UACGAAGGGGGCUAGCGUUGCUCGGAAUCACUGGGCGUAAAGGGUGCGUAGGCGGGUCUUUUAAGUCAGGGGUGAAAUCCUGGAGCUCAACUCCAGAACUGCCUUUGAUACUGGCGACCUUGAGGCUGGAAGAGGUUAGUGGAAUUCCCAGUGUAGAGGUGAAAUUCGUAGAUAUUGGGAAGAACACCAGUGGCGAAGGCGGUCUGCUGGGCGGUGGGUCCGCGAGGAUCCAAUAGCCGACACUGAGGCGCGACAGCGUGGGGAGCAAACAGG